rnacentral:rRNA from 1 species
CGCAAUGGGGGAAACCCGGAGGAAGGGACACCGCGUGUUGGAAGAAUCCUUUUGGGGGUAAAAACUCUGUCAGCUCGAAAGAAAAAAAUGAUGGUAUCUGCAGUGGAAGCAUCCGAAAUUUAUGUCCCCGCGGCCGGGGUAAGAGGUGGGCCGCGAGUUUUCUCGGGAUUUAUGGGGUAAAAAGAGUUUGUAGGGGGUUUUUUAAGUCUGAUGUUAAAGCCUGAGGCCCAACCUCGGGAAUGCAUUGGAUCGGCACAAAUUUGAGGGUGGGAGAGGCAAGCGGAAUUCCCGGUUAGGGGGAAUUGCGUUGAUUUUGGGGGGAACCCCGGUGGCGCAAGCGGUAUGCUGGGGCACUCCUGACACUGAGGAACGAAAGCUA